CUCUCUUUGACACACGGACACACGCGCGCGCGCGCGCACACACACACACACGGACACACACUCUGCCGAAGCUUCCUGUGUGUUUUUGUCCGUGGGAAAAACAGCGCAGAGGAGUUAGAGGGAAGAGAAGAAAGGAGAGAGAGAAGAGGAGGAGGAGAGAGGAGGAGAGAGGAGGAGAGGAGGAGAAGGAAGAUCCUGCCGUGACAGUGGAGCAACACUCUGGAGAUGCCCAGCAGGAGCAGUAGCGGUCCUGACUGACUGACUGACUGGCGUUGGGCGUAGAGAGGUCUUGCCCAUCCUCCCGUGUUGGCGUUGGGCGUAGAGAGCUCGUGCCCAUUCUCCCGUGUUGGCGUUGGGCGUAGAGAGGUCUUGCCCAUUCUCCCGUGUUGGCGUUGGGCGUAGAGAGGUCUUGCCCAUUCUCCCGUGUUGGCGUUGGGCGUAGAGAGGUCUUGCCCAUUCUCCCGUGUUGGCGUUGGGCGUAGAGAGGUCUUGCGCUGGCUCAGGCGUCGGGGCUGUGGGCUCCGCCCGGCAGGAUGGCCACCAUGCCCUUCGUCAGCGAGGGCAAGUGUGUGAGCGUGGAGUG
rnacentral:lncRNA from 1 species